rnacentral:lncRNA from 1 species
GAUUUUCAAAGGAGAAACCAGAAAAGGGAUAACAUUUGAAAUGUAAAUAAAGAAAAAUAUCUAAUAAAAUAAAUAAAAUAUAUAAUUAGCCCCAAGGCUAUUCACAACAAUGUUCCUAUUAAAACUGAACCUGUAAUUGCAAUAAAUUUUUAGUAUUAUUCAAUCAAAUACACCAGUUUAGGUUUCUUUAUAUGGGCUGGGCUGAGUGGAAGCACGAUGAUUUCUUUCUGUGUAUAUAUAUGUGUGUGUGUGUGUGUGUGUGUGUGUGUGUGUGUGUGUGUGUGUAUACUUUUUAGAGAAUUUAAAAUAGGCCAUAAAGUCUCACCUAUUAUACAGAUCAAGGGACCAACAUUCAAAAGUGAACUUUUCUACUAUAAGAGAAACAAACUUUUUACUUUUCAUUACUGCUAUAGAAGAGCAUAAAUCUCAUGCUUGGUGAAAUAAAUCCUUAUCUAUUCUUUCACAGUUAGUGCAUAUCUACACUCUCUCUACAGAAACUAAAACAACACUGGCUAAUGAAUUUCAAAUGCCUGAAUGAAGGUUACAGCAGAAACCCAACAUCUCUGUUAAAGGAUCCUCCCACAGCACCAGCUACAUAGUCAGGGCUGGAUUAUCUUGAUCUUCACAACAAAGCUAUAGGUAGAAAUGCCUUUAAAGUUGGGAAAAAAAGAAACCUAUUCAUCAAAGUGAAGUGUUUAAAUUAUAUCUUUGUAGUGGUAAAAUUAACUUUUUUUUUUUGAGUGAUGUCUGUUUAGUGGUAAAUUUAACAUUUAUACUGAAAGGCUCCGAAUUGAAGUUCCUGAUGAUUAAAUAAAACACUGUGUCUUAGAACAUUACAUGCAGUCAUUUUGCUUUUGGGUAGACUUAAAAAACAAAAAACAAAAACAAAAACAAUAAUAGUAUAUGUUCAAAUCUGGAAACUAGUAAGAAUAUUUCAGAUGUGUCCAUACAUGGCACUGAUAAUACACUCCAUUGUCUUUAGAGUAGCUGCUUAGCAGAUGGUUCAUAAAUGAGAUUUGGACUGUCAAAAUUCCUUAAUUGGUACUUCCUUCUUGACUGAUUUGACUGCUGAAACAAUUAAGGCAGCUUUUCUCCUCCAUCUCACAGUUUCUAUCAAGUGAUUUAUUGCUACAAACAGUUUUUAGGGUAAAAAGCUUUCUAAUAUAUGUGAUGAAUUAGGCCUAUAAAAAGCAUCUCCCUCAAACUACAUUGUUAGAAUGAAUGGGGGAAUGAUGUAAGGUUUGGAGGGCAGUGUGCUCUCUGUACAUCUAUGGAGUUGUUUGGCUUGGUGAGCCUUCCUGCCUAUGCUGGUCAGUCCAUUCCUGGAUGGUUUAUAGGAAGAAAAACUUCCAUCAGUAGACAGAGGCAGAUGGAACAACUGGAUGACCUAAAAUCCAUCUCUAAUUCAAGUUAUCCCCAUCAUUUGCUUCAUUGCAACUUUGUGUAUUUUAUCAAACUAGACACACAAAUAUCCAUGAUCUCCAAUGCACACCCAUAUUGUUGAGUGGAAAUCAUUUGUAACUUUAAUAUAAUUUUAAAUACAAAUGCAUAGGGGUUGAAAAUACAAUCUACUUUUAUAAAAUAAGCAUUAAUAUAAGCCCAUUUAUAGUAUAUUAUCAGCGAUUCCUAUAUCUUAUUGUUAGAAAAUUUCCCCAAUUUGCUGAAUACUUACACUCUUAUAAACAAAAGUUUCUUACCUGAAUAUUUAAGCUUCAAUUUUAGAAAACAAUCAACAUACUUUUCCAAAAUUAAAACUAUAUUCUAAAAUGUUGUUUGUUAGCAAAUAAAAAAGAUCCAACAAAAAGCACAUAACUAAAUGCAUUUUAUUGGCUACUAAUUUCAUUCCUGGAAACUCAAGAAUUUUCAGUUCUUUGAUGAUAGAUUUUUCUGUGUAAGGGAGUUUAAUGUCCAGGUCUUGGAUUUAUGUCUAUCUGAUUCAGGCUUACAAGAUGUUCUUAGUAUAAAUUCUUCCCAGACAAGAAUUAAUUUUACAAAAAUGACAACGUCUUUUUCUUCAGUAAUAUAUGAUAAUCCAGGAUAUAUAUAUAUAUGUGUGUGUGUGUGUGUGUGUGUGUGUGUGUGUGUAAAAUGAAUAUACAUGUUAGAUUUAUACUAUAAAUACAAUUCAAAAUAUCAUUCGAAUGAAUGCAUAAUAAGCAAAGUAUUUGAAGAACAAAUUACAAGGUCUGGAAUGUACCUUGAUAGAGACCUAUUAACAUUUCUAUGGAAAACAAGCUGACAUUCAUUUUCUUGAAAGGUAAUAUAUUAUCAUCUAGUGAUUCAAAACCACAGAAAAAUUUCAGUAUUUGAAAGUAAAUAAAGAUCCAUUUUUUCUUUUCACAUUACAUAACUGAUGAGAAAUAUGUGCUUCUUUAAAAAGGAAUUGAAAUGCAAAGUGCUUUUAUUUGUAUCAAAAAUUUACAGAAAAGAAGAGAAAAAUACUAAUCUUUUACAUAAGUAACAAACAUUCUCACCUACACUUUAGGUUUAAGUAUUAUAAAAUGAAAACCUGAGGAAGUUUGCUUUCAAGAGUAUAUACACAUAACACAUAUUCAUUGGAUUGUGUCUGUUACCAUGGAUGUAGUGGGAAGGUCUGGUGUUCCUUCCCAUGGGUGGGACUUGCCUUAUAUUUACAACCCAUAACCAUAGCAAGCAGGAGCCAUUUUUUCUUGCUUGUGAUCAUCUAGAAGACUUUAAAAUACAAAUGAAUGUAAAAGUGCCUAGAUAAAUGGGAUGGAAGUGAGGGGAGAAGAACAGUAAAAGAAUGGGACAGAGGGCUGGAGUAAGGAAGGAAGAAAGGC